AGAGUUUGAUCCUGGCUCAGGACGAACUCUGGCGGCGUGCUUAACACAUGCAAGUCGAACGGAGCACCCCUGAAGGAGUUUUCGGACAACGGAAGGGAAUGCUUAGUGGCGGACUGGUGAGUAACGCGUGAGGAACCUGCCUUCCAGAGGGGGACAACAGUUGGAAACGACUGCUAAUACCGCAUGAUGUGUUUUGAUGGCAUCAUUGAGACACCAAAGAUUUAUCGCUGGAAGAUGGCCUCGCGUCUGAUUAGCUAGUAGGCGGGGUAACGGCCCACCUAGGCGACGAUCAGUAGCCGGACUGAGAGGUUGACCGGCCACAUUGGGACUGAGAUACGGCCCAGACUCCUACGGGAGGCAGCAGUGGGGAAUAUUGGGCAAUGGGCGCAAGCCUGACCCAGCAACGCCGCGCGAAGGAAGAAGGCUUUCGGGUUGUAAACUUCUUUUAAGAGGGAAGAGAAGAAGACGGUACCUCUUGAAUAAGCCACGGCUAACUACGUGCCAGCAGCCGCGGUAAUACGUAGGUGGCAAGCGUUGUCCGGAUUUACUGGGUGUAAAGGGCGUGCAGCCGGGCUGACAAGUCAGAUGUGAAAUCCCGCGGCUCAACCGCGGAACUGCAUUUGAAACUGUCAGUCUUGAGUACCGGAGAGGUCAUCGGGAUUCCUUGUGUAGCGGUGAAAUGCGUAGAUAUAAGGAAGAACACCAGUGGCGAAGGCGGAUGACUGGACGGCAACUGACGGUGAGGCGCGAAAGCGUGGGGAGCAAACAGGAUUAGAUACCCUGGUAGUCCACGCUGUAAACGAUCGAUACUAGGUGUGCGGGGACUGACCCCCUGCGUGCCGCAGUUAACACAAUAAGUAUCGCACCUGGGGAGUACGAUCGCAAGGUUGAAACUCAAAGGAAUUGACGGGGGCCCGCACAAGCGGUGGAUUAUGUGGUUUAAUUCGAUGAUACGCGAGGAACCUUACCCGGGCUUGAAUUGCAGAUGACGGAUCCAGAGAUGGUGACUUCCUUCGGGACAUCUGUGAAGGUGCUGCAUGGUUGUCGUCAGCUCGUGCCGUGAGGUGUCGGCUUAAGUGCCAUAACGAGCGCAACCCCUUUCGUCAGUUGCCAUCGGGUAAUGCCGGGCACUCUGGAGAGACUGCCCGGGAUAACCGGGAGGAAGGCGGGGAUGACGUCAAAUCAUCAUGCCCCUUAUGAUCAGGGCUACACACGUGCUACAAUGGCGUAAACAAAGGGAAGCGAGACGGUGACGUUGAGCAAAUCCCAGAAAUAACGUCCCAGUUCGGAUUGUAGUCUGCAACCCGACUACAUGAAGCUGGAAUCGCUAGUAAUCGCGAAUCAGAAUGUCGCGGUGAAUACGUUCCCGGGUCUUGCACACAACGCCCGUCA
rnacentral:rRNA from 1 species